UACGGGAGGCAGCAGUGAGGAAUAUUGGUCAAUGGGCGGGAGCCUGAACCAGCCAAGUAGCGUGCAGGAAGACGGCCCUAUGGGUUGUAAACUGCUUUUAUACAGGGAUAAAGUGCGCCACGUGUGGUGUAUUGCAGGUACUGUAUGAAUAAGGACCGGCUAAUUCCGUGCCAGCAGCCGCGGUAAU
rnacentral:rRNA from 1 species